rnacentral:rRNA from 1 species
UACGGGGGGUGCGAGCGUUGUCCGGAAUCACUGGGCGUAAAGGGCGCGUAGGUGGUUUGAUAAGGGUGUGGUGAAAGUCCGGGGCUCAACCCCGGAUCUGCCGUGCCGACUGUCAAACUCGAGGACUGUAGAGGCAGACGGAAUUCCGGGUGUAGCGGUGGAAUGCGUAGAGAUCCGGAGGAACACCAGUGGCGAAGGCGACACGCUGGGCCGUACCUGACACUGAUACGCGACAGCAUGGGGAGCGAACGGG